GGGGCGGUAGCUCAGUUUGGGAGAGCGCUGCGUUCUGCAAUGCAGAGGUCGUGAGUUCGAUCCUCAUCCGCUCCACCA
rnacentral:tRNA from 1 species